rnacentral:rRNA from 1 species
UACGAGGGGGGCAAGCGUUGUUCGGAAUUAUUGGGCGUAAAGGGCGCGUAGGCGGUGCGGUAAGUCACCUGUGAAAACUCUGGGCUCAACUCAGAGCCUGCAGGCGAAACUGCCGUGCUUGAGUGUGGGAGAGGUGCGUGGAAUUCCCGGUGUAGUGGUGAAAUGCGUAGAUAUCGGGAGGAAUACCAGUGGCGAAGGCGGCUUCCUGGCCUGUUCUUGACGCUGAGGCGCGAAAGCUAGGGUAGCAAACGGG